ACAUCGCCGAGCUCAUCAAAAAAGGUGAGAUCGACCAGAUCAAAGUCGCAAUGGAGCAAAGUCUCGCGCCCGGAUCGCAAACCUUCGAGCAGUGCCUCUUCAACUACUACCAGUCCGGCCGCAUUACGCUCGACGAAGCAAUGCAGAAUGCCGACUCCGCCACGAACCUGCACUG
rnacentral:misc_RNA from 1 species